UUUUAUUCUGUUUGUGUUAAAAUUCCAAAAAAAAUAAAAUAAAAUUUUUUAAAAAAAUUUUUUGGAUUAAAAGCGGGCUUACACUUGCUUUAAGUUUUUACGUUUCUUUUCUUGGUUUUUGUGUUAAAUCUUGAUUUAAUAAAAUAUUCAAUUCCUUCAAAGGAUUCUAUUUUAAAAAGUGGAACGCAUCAAAAUAAUUUUUUUUUGUAAAGUGGAAAAAAACCUAUUUUGGAUUUGAUUCCAUUUGUGUAGUAAGGCCUACAACUAAAAAAUAAAAAUAAAUCGUAAAGUGAAUUAAACAAAAGAAAACACGAAAAAAAAAUAAUAAUAAUAAAUAAAAGAGGCAAAAGAUAUUUACGCUAGAAAUAGAAAAAAAAGAGAAAAAGAAAUAAGAAAAACAAGAAGAGAAGUGAAUAAAAAUUCAACAAAAACAACAACAAUAAUAACAAUAAUGUUAGAUAGGGACAAAAAAAUGGAUAUUAAUACAAUCGCCACCAGAAGGAGCUGUUGUAGUUCUUUGUAUCAUCAUUACAAUUACUACUGGCUUACAAUUUCAUUUGUGAUUUUGUCAUCGCUAAUUGGAUAUGCCCAUUUACAAGGUAAGAAUUCCUUAAUAAUAAUAAAAUGACAUUAAUGUAUGUAAGUAUGUGAACAAAUUCUAAUAAAUUAUGGGUGUGAGUUUAUUAUUAUUUUUCUCUUUAUAUAAUAAUUUUAAUUUUAUUUAAAUU